GUAUAGCUAUUCAAUUACUUUAAUUUUUCACUAAUGCCAUACAUGCUUAUCAUGUAAUCCUCAUCUUGGUCUUGAGUGAUACUGUUUUGCAGGAUUUCCACAUAUUAAAUGCUCUAACUAAAGGGUGCAAGAUCUCUCUCUCUCUCUCUCUCUUUCCUUCUCCAUAACUCUGACUUUCAAAUAAAUUAAAAAAUCUUUAAAAAAUCUAACUACAUAUAUGCAUUCUUUUCAUUUGCAUUAUUCAAUGCACACUUUGAAAUACUGUGAUUUAGUACAGGAACUUACACAUACUCACAAAGGAAUAUUGUAUCAAACCUCAUACUGAUCAAUGUUUUCCGUCACUUAAAUAGGAUCCUCUAAAUCUAACAAAUGCUUGUCUUGACUUUGCCAAAGCUUUUCAAGAUUGAAGUACAAAGAAAUUCUAUCCUGCAAAUGGGAAAAACAAUAAGUGUUAACUCAUCUAGCUCCAUGGUAGGAUUGUUUAAGAGAAAUAAUUUUCUCUUAAAUGACAACUGACUUUAAAAUCAAAACUAGUCUUUGACAGGUUUUCAUACAUAAAUUUAUUGUGAUUACUAAGUGCCACUUAUCAAAGAUGCUUCCAUGAUGAAAAUCAGAAGAAAUGGUGUCAGACAAGGAGCAAAGCCAAAUGGGCUCCCCAAGGGGAUAGACAAAACAAUUCUGAAUGUCUUCAAAUUAAAUUCAGUAAAAACACAUUAUUUUUUAAUAUGUGAUGUAUUCUUGCAGAAUUUUGUGAAAAAUUGUGAAAAAUGUUUAAUAAAUGAUCCUUUAUAAAUAAUUUUAGUCUCCCCAUUGUGAUUUCCUUAAUUUCUAUAGAUUUUAAUAUUCAUAUCUAAGAGUGCCCCAGACUCAUCUGCUCUGUGCUAAUUCAGAUCAAGAUCAUUAAUGAAUCAGUUUUUCAUUUGUAGAUUUAUUAUGGCAAGAAAAAAAAUCAAUCCUUGGGUGAUCAAAGAGAAUCUAAACAUCAUCAUACAGUAAACCAUUUUCUUAAUUUGAAGAAUAUGGCAAAUGAAUGUUUUUGUGUGUUUUACAAAGCAAAGAUAAAAGGGAAAAGGUAACACUAACUGCCAUGACUACUAAGUAAAGUAGUCAUAUAUUUUAAAAUUUAUGUUUAACAUAUGUGAAUCAAUCCAAUAGUUGUUUUAAAGUCACACCAACCAGAGUCCUUGAUGUUACCAUGAGCUAGGAAAUCAGAAUCUUCAUUGGAAUGGACACCACAGGUAUCAGAAGUCAAUGAUUAUAGGCCUGUGCCAUGGCUCAAUGGGCUAACCCUCCACCUGCGGUGCCUGCACACAGGGUUCUAGUCCCAGUGAGGGUGCUGGAUUCUGUCCCGGUUGCCCCUCUUCCAGGCCAGCUCUCUGCCAUGGCCCAGGAAAGCAGUGGAGGAUGGCCCAAGUGCUUGGGCCCUGCACCUGCCUAGGAGACCAGGAGAAGCACCUGGAUCCUGGCCAUUGUGGGGGUGAACCAAUGGAAAAAGGAAGACCUUUCUCUCUGUCUCUCUCUCACUGUCCACUCUGCCUGUCAAAAAAAAAGUCAAGGAUUGUAUUAACUUAAUACAUUUUGUGUCAUGCAUGGUUGCACAUGCAUUGGAUGCCUAAGACCUACUUACAACUAUAUCAUGUUAUUUUUUAACUGUUCCACACUUAACCAGAAUAAUUUGGAAACAUUACCAUCAUUCUUCCUUCCUCCAUAGAAAUAAACAGAAAAAUAAUUCAUAAACA
rnacentral:lncRNA from 1 species